CCUACGGGGGGCAGCAGUGAGGAAUAUUGGUCAAUGGGCGCGAGCCUGAACCAGCCAAGUCGCGUGAAGGAUGACUGCACUAAGGGUUGUAAACUUCUUUUAUAAAGGAAUAAAGUGAGGCACGUGUGCCUUUUUGUAUGUACUUUAUGAAUAAGGAUCGGCUAACUCCGUGCCAGCAGCCGCGGUAAUACGGAGGAUACGAGCGUUAUCCGGAUUUAUUGGGUUUAAAGGGAGCGUAGAUGGGUUGUUAAGUCAGUUGUGAAAGGUUGCGGCUCAACCGUAAAAUUGCAAUUGAUACUGGCAGUCUUGAGUACAGUUGAGGUAGGCGGAAUGCGUGGUGUAGCGGUGAAAUGCUUAGAUAUCGCGCAGAACUCCGAUUGCGAAGGCAGCUUACUAAACUGCCACUGACAUUGAGGCUCGAAAGUGUGGGUAUCAAACAGGAUUAGAUACCCUGGUAGUC
rnacentral:rRNA from 1 species